UGAGGAAUAUUGGACAAUGGGCGCAAGCCUGAUCCAGCCAUGCCGCGUGCAGGAAGAAGCAUCUAUGGUGUGUAAACUGCUUUUGUACGGGAAGAAACACUCCUUCGUGAAGGAGCUUGCCGGUACCGUAAGAAUAAGGAUCGGCUCACCCCGUGCCAGCAGCCGCGGUAAUACGGAGGAUCCAAGCGUUAUCCGGUAUCAUUGGGUUUAAAGGGUCCGUAGGCGGGUUAGUAAGUCAGUGGUGAAAGCCCAUCGCUCAACGAUGGAACGGCCAUUGAUACUGUUCGACUUGAAUUACAAGGAAGUAACUAGAAUAUGUAGUGUAGAGGUGAGAUACUUAGAUAUUACAUGGAAUACCAGUUGCGAAGACGGGUUACUACUUGUGGAUUGACGCGGAUGGACGCAAGCGUGGGGGGCGAACA
rnacentral:rRNA from 1 species